rnacentral:rRNA from 1 species
UGAGGAAUAUUGGUCAAUGGACGGAAGUCUGAACCAGCCAAGUAGCGUGCAGGAAGACGGCCCUAUGGGUUGUAAACUGCUUUUGUAUGGGGAUAAAGUCAAUCACGUGUGAUUGUUUGCAGGUACCAUACGAAUAAGGACCGGCUAAUUCCGUGCCAGCAGCCGCGGUAAUACGGAAGGUUCGGGCGUUAUCCGGAUUUAUUGGGUUUAAAGGGAGCGCAGGCCGGAGAUUAAGUGUGUUGUGAAAUGUAGACGCUCAACGUCUGACUUGCAGCGCAUACUGGUUUCCUUGAGUACGCACAACGUUGGCGGAAUUCGUCGUGUAGCGGUGAAAUGCUUAGAUAUGACGAAGAGCUCCGAUUGCGAAGGCAGCUGACGGGAGCGCAACUGACGCUGAAGCUCGAAGGUGCGGGUAUCGAACAGGAUUAGAUACCCUGGUAGUCCGCACAGUAAACGAUGGAUGCCCGCUGUUGGUACCUGGUAUCAGCGGCUAAGCGAAAGCAUUAAGCAUCCCACCUGGGGAGUACGCCGGCAACGGUG